CGUUCCCGGGCCUUGUACACACCGCCCGUCACGUCACGAAAGUCGGCAACACCCGAAGCCCGUGGCCUAACCCUUGUGGAGGGAGCGGUCGAAGGUGGGGCUGGCGAUUGGGACG
rnacentral:rRNA from 1 species